rnacentral:rRNA from 1 species
GUUUAUGACCAUGCCACCAUGAACAAGUCUGGUCCUGUCUGAUCUCAGAAGCUAAGCAGGGUCGGGCAUGGUUAGUACUUGGAUGAGAGACCUAGCAAGACCAGGUGCAGUAGUUG